rnacentral:rRNA from 1 species
AGCGAACGCUGGCGGCAGGCUUAACACAUGCAAGUCGAGCGGGCGUAGCAAUACGUCAGCGGCAGACGGGUGAGUAACGCGUGGGAACAUACCUUUUGGUUCGGAACAACACAGGGAAACUUGUGCUAAUACCGGAUAAGCCCUUACGGGGAAAGAUUUAUCGCCGAAAGAUUGGCCCGCGUCUGAUUAGCUAGUUGGUGAGGUAACGGCUCACCAAGGCGACGAUCAGUAGCGGUCUGAGAGGAUGAUCAGCCACAUUGGGACUGAGACACGGCCCAAACUCCUACGGGAGGCAGCAGUGGGAAUAUUGGACAAUGGGCGCAAGCCUGAUCCAGCCAUGCCGCGCGAGUGAUGAAGGCCUAGGGUUGUAAAGCUCUUUUGUGCGGGAAGAUAAUGACGGUACCGCAAGAAUAACGCCCCGGCUAACUUCGUGCCAGCAGCAGCCGCCGUAA